GGAAGCUGAUGGGGUCUGGCGGCUCCCGCGGUCUUCAAAACCGUCGGCCGCGUUUCCGCGCGGCGGCAGGUUCGAUUCCUGCCUCUUCCG
rnacentral:tRNA from 1 species